GAAAAUGAGAGACACAGCUGAGUCCUGGAGCAGAUGAGCCACAUAAGCAAGGAAGCGCCACUGGAGAGAAACCGUGUCAGGCCCUUUUGAAGUUCCGGGGAGGGAAGAGAAGUGCUGGGUCCUGAGACAGGUGCCACCGGAGCUGCACAAGAGUUGCCUCAGAGAGCACACAGUCUGAUGGAGGAGACAGAGCCCCAUUUGGAAAACCCCUGGUCAGAUGGAGGAGAUAGGAUCUGUGCCCCUGAAGAGCCUCCAGUCUGAUCAGGCCCGGGCCUGGAAGGCAGUGCACGCCCACAGCGCCCUCUGCUGGAAGGCAUCAGACAGCACCGCAGGCUCUGCGUGCCAAGGCAUUUGUGCGAACAGCCCCGCAUUCCGGCUCUGUGGAAGCCCCAGAUUCUGAGGUCAGGAGUGAAAGAUAGGCGGGAACUGGGUCAGUACCUGAGAGGGUCCAUAUCUGCAACCUGCAAGAUCUUGGAGCUUAAGAUCUACUUGGAGUGGCUGAAGGAGCCACCAAAGACAACAGCCCCACCCAGCCCAGAGCUUACUGGAGGCUCAGGAGCUCUGAGUAUCCAGGGCCCCGCCUCCCCCCAGGCUAGGAGGGGACCUUCUCCCAACGGAUGACCUAUGUCUCAUUAUAUCGAAGAGGAUGUGUCCCUUUCUUUCUCCAACCCUGGAUCUGGGGUGGCUAGACUUCAGACAGAGAUAAAGAUUAAUGAAGCCUAAGGGAGCUCAGGUUUCUCAGGACACCAACAGUGCCUUGGAGGGAACUGGCAACCACAGGACAGAGAACCCAGGAGAGCCAGGACCUGAACCUUGGGCUCCCUUCUUCUCUCCUUCUGCAGAGUUCCUGGAGAGAAUCCAAGGAAGUGAGCCCAGCAGGGGCACCCGGGCCGAGGCUAGAAGUGCCACGGAAUGAGUGCCAUUUCUUAGGAGUGACCCUCAACCAGUGACUGGAGCUGGAGCACACACCUCAUUCCUUCUCCGUGAGCUUGGAGAUGGGCAUCUACUCUGGUUUCCAGUGGGAUGAAAGUCCACACUCAUAGCCGUAACCUUCCCUUUACUGGUGUCCUUCGUGUUGCUCUUUUACUUCCUCACUUGCCUCAGGGUGUUUCCGGGGAUUGCACAAAUACACUCUUUGCACUGAAUCCUUAUCUCAAGCUCUGCUUCUGGGGGAACCACCGUGACCAACUUGUUCCGAUUUUCCCGGGAUUGUUCCAGUUUUAAAAGUUAAAGUCCCACAUCCUGAGACUGCCCCGCACCUCAGUCCCAGGCAGACAGGGACGAUGGGUCACCCGAGGAGGGAUCCCAAACCAAGACAGAUGUGAGCACACGGAGCAAGGCAGACAGACCACUGAACCACCAGUUUGAAAGCCAGGUAUCGGUUUUGGAGAACAAAAGAGCAGACACAGUAUCAUUUGGUCAUAUCAUCAGGUUCAUUAGUUUUUAUGAGCUAAAGACCUCUAAGAGAACAGUAGCCACCAAUGACAAAUAAGCCAUUCCUUUGAAAACAGACAUGGUCCUACAGCCCCAGGGCGUGGUUUGCUAAUUGUUGGUGGAUUGAAGACGGCUGACAGUCAGGACUCCCACAGCAUCCACGUGACUGGCUACUGAAAAACGGCAGCGGGUGUUCUAAGACGUGUCACAGGCACAGAAGGGGACAUUACAGGUGAGCAGGCAAGGGAACAGGGCAGCAC